AUUGAACGCUGGCGGCAGGCCUAACACAUGCAAGUCGAGCGGAUGAAGGGAGCUUGCUCCUGGAUUCAGCGGCGGACGGGUGAGUAAUGCCUAGGAAUCUGCCUGGUAGUGGGGGAUAACGUCCGGAAACGGGCGCUAAUACCGCAUACGUCCUGAGGGAGAAAGUGGGGGAUCUUCGGACCUCACGCUAUCAGAUGACCCUAGGACGGAUUAGCUAGUUGGUGGGGUAAAGGCCUACCAAGGCGACGAUCCGUAACUGGUCUGAGAGGAUGAUCAGUCACACUGGAACUGAGACACGGUCCAGACUCCUACGGGAGGCAGCAGUGGGGAAUAUUGGACAAUGGGCGAAAGCCUGAUCCAGCCAUGCCGCGUGUGUGAAGAAGGUCUUCGGAUUGUAAAGCACUUUAAGUUGGGAGGAAGGGCAGUAAGUUAAUACCUUGCUGUUUUGACGUUACCAACAGAAUAAGCACCGGCUAACUUCGUG
rnacentral:rRNA from 1 species